rnacentral:snRNA from 1 species
GGAUGUAAGGGAGAUCUGGCUGAGACAUCUGUCACCCCAUUGAUCACCAGUGUUGAUUCAGCUGAUCUGGCUGGCUAGGUGGGUGUCCCCUUCUUCCCUCACUGUGCUCCAUGUGCGUCCCUCCCAAAGCUGCGUGCUCGGUUGAAGAGGACGACCAUUCCCAAUAGAGGAGGACCCUUCUUUGGUCAAGGGUAUACGAAUAGCUUCGCUCCCCUGCUAGAACCUCCAAACAAGCUCUCAGAGUAAUAAUUUUAAGAUCAUCCCCAAAUGGUACAUGUCCCUUCAUUUCUUUGUACUUUAAG